rfam:Rhizoctonia solani AG-1 IB, isolate 7/3/14, WGS project CAOJ01000000 data, contig: 24074
GGGCAUGUAGUGUAGGGGUUAUCGCGCCUCAUUUGCAACCAUCUUGACCAGUAAGGUCAGGUGAUUCAGUUGAGGAGGUCCUGAGUUCAAUUCUCAGCUUGUCCA